rnacentral:rRNA from 1 species
AUAAUGAUUCCGCAUGGUUUCAUUAUUAAAGGAUUCCGGUAAAGGAUGGGGAUGCGUUCCAUUAGGUUGUUGGUGAGGUAACGGCCCACCAAGCCUUCGAUGGAUAGGGGUUCUGAGAGGAAGGUCCCCCACAUUGGAACUGAGACACGGUCCAAACUCCUACGGGAGGCAGCAGUGAGGAAUAUUGGUCAAUGGGCGCUAGCCUGAACCAGCCAAGUAGCGUGAAGGAUGAAGGCUCUAUGGGUCGUAAACUUCUUUUAUAUAAGAAUAAAGUGCAGUAUGUAUACUGUUUUGUAUGUAUUAUAUGAAUAAGGAUCGGCUAACUCCGUGCCAGCAGCCGCGGUAAUACGGAGGAUCCGAGCGUUAUCCGGAUUUAUUGGGUUUAAAGGGAGCGUAGGUGGACUGGUAAGUCAGUUGUGAAAGUUUGCGGCUCAACCGUAAAAUUGCAGUUGAUACUGUCAGUCUUGAGUACAGUAGAGGUGGGCGGAAUUCGUGGUGUAGCGGUGAAAUGCUUAGAUAUCACGAAGAACUCCGAUUGCGAAGGCAGCUCACUGGACUGCAACUGACACUGAUGCUCGAAAGUGUGGGUAUCAAACAGGAUUAGAUACCCUGGUAGUCCACACAGUAAACGAUGAAUACUCGCUGUUUGCGAUAUACAGUAAGCGGCCAAGCGAAAGCAUUAAGUAUUCCACCUGGGGAGUACGCCGGCAACGGUGAAACUCAAAGGAAUUGACGGGGGCCCGCACAAGCGGAGGAACAUGUGGUUUAAUUCGAUGAUACGCGAGGAACCUUACCCGGGCUUAAAUUGCAGUGGAAUGAUGUGGAAACAUGUCAGUGAGCAAUCACCGCUGUGAAGGUGCUGCAUGGUUGUCGUCAGCUCGUGCCGUGAGGUGUCGGCUUAAGUGCCAUAACGAGCGCAACCCUUAUCUUCAGUUACUAACAGGUCAUGCUGAGGACUCUGGAGAGACUGCCGUCGUAAGAUGUGAGGAAGGUGGGGAUGACGUCAAAUCAGCACGGCCCUUACGUCCGGGGCUACACACGUGUUACAAUGGGGGGUACAGAAGGCAGCUAGCGGGUGACCGUAUGCUAAUCCCAAAAUCCUCUCUCAGUUCGGAUCGAAGUCUGCAACCCGACUUCGUGAAGCUGGAUUCGCUAGUAAUCGCGCAUCAGCCACGGCGCGGUGAAUACGUUCCCGGGCCUUGUACACACCGCCCGUCAAGCCAUGGGAGCCGGGGGUACCUGAAGUACGUAACCGCAAGGAUCGUCCUAGGGUAAAACUGGUGACUGGGGCUAAGUCGUAACAAGGUAGCCGUACCGGAAGGUGCGGCUGGAACACCUCCUUU